rnacentral:rRNA from 1 species
GAUGAACGCUGGCGGCGUGCUUAAUACAUGCAAGUCGAGCGAACAGAUGAGGCGCUUGCUCCUCUGACGUUAGCGGCGGACGGGUGAGUAACACGUGUAUAACCUACCUAUAAGACUGGGAUAUCUUCGGGAAACCGGAUCUAAUACCGGAGAAUCUAUUGCACCGCAUGGUUCAAUAGUAAAAUUCGGUUUUGCUGUCACUUAUAGAUGGAUCCCGGCUGCUUUAGCUAGUCGGUAAGGUAACGGGUUUUCAAGGCAACGAUGCGUAAGCGACCUGAGAGACGGGUAGGCGACACUGGAACUGAGACACGCACCAGACUCCUACGGGACGCAGCAGUAGCGAAUCGGCCGCAGUGGGCGAGAGCAUGGCGCAGCAACGCCGCGUGAGUGAUGGAGGUCUUCGGUUCGUAAAACCCGGUUACUAGGGAAGAACCAAUGUGUAAGUAGAUAUACACGUAUUGACGGUAACUAGUCAGAAAGCACCGGCUAACUACGUG